CCUACGGGUGGCAGCAGUGAGGAAUAUUGGUCAAUGGACGCAAGUCUGAACCAGCCAUGCCGCGUGCAGGAAGACGGCCCUAUGAGUUGUAAACUGCUUUUGUACGAGGGUAAACGCACAUACGCGUAUCUGUCUGAAAGUACCGUACGAAUAAGCAUCGGCUAACUCCGUGCCAGCAGCCGCGGUAAUACGGAGGAUUCAAGCGUUAUCCGGAUUUAUUGGGUUUAAAGGGUGCGUAGGCGGUCGGAUAAGUUAGAGGUGAAAUCCCGGGGCUCAACUUCGGAAUUGCCUCUGAUACUGUUAGGCUAGAGAGUGGGUGCGGUAGGCGGAAGGUAUGGUGUAGCGGUGAAAUGCUUAGAGAUCAUACAGAACACCGAUUGCGAAGGCAGCAUACCAGGCUACUUCUGACGUUGAGGCACGAAAGCGUGGGGAGCAAACAGGAUUAGAUACCCUAGUAGUC
rnacentral:rRNA from 1 species